AGAAAUUCCUGUCUGAAUUCAGGGGUUAAUAUCUUAAAAUUUCUUGACUAUAUUGGUAAUACUUUGUUUAUUUUUCACAUGAAAAUUAUUUGUUUCUUUUAGGUUAUGGCUCAUAGUUCACCCCAGAGCAUUUUAGAUGAUGUUGCCAUGGUACUUGAUGAAGAAGCAGAAGUUUUUAUAGUCAAAAUGUGGAGAUUAUUGAUAUAUGAAACAGAAGCCAAGAAAAUUGGUCUUGUGAAGUAAAACUUUUUAUAUUUAGAGUGUUCCAUUUCAGAUAUCUUCUUCACCACCCUUUUAAGGACUUCGAAUUUUUCUUUGUCUUUGAAGACAUUGUGAGAGCUGUAAUUUUUUUUUAUUGUAGAAAAUGUGAAUUUUUUUGUCCUCUAAUUUGUUGCCCUGUGUACUCCCUUGGUUGUAAAGUCAUCUGAAUCCUUGGUUCUCUUUAUACUCACCAGGUACAAAUUACUGGUAUGUUUUAUAAGCCGCAGCUACUGUAUACAGCCUAUCUGACAUAAUCUUGUUCUGCUGAUUUGUUCCUUGUAAAUAUUAAAACGACUCCCCAAUUCUUUUGCAGAAUUGCACUUAAUAUUGAAAUGUACUGUAUAGGAACCAACAUGAACAAUUUUAAUUGAAAACACCAGUCACAUCUAUUACCACCCCCACUCUCUUUUGAUCAGAAAUGGCAAGCCCUUGUGAAGGCAUGGAGUUUAAAAUUAGAAUGCAAAAAUUAGCAGACAAUCCAUUUCUACUGUAUUUCUGUAUGAAUGUGUUCUAUGAAUGUAUGUGUAAAAGUCUUUCUUUUCCCUAAUUUGCUUUGGUGGGGUCCUUAAAACAUUUCCUAACUAACAGAAUUGUAAAGGAAAAGUUACAUUGUUCGAACCCAAAAUGUCUGGCAUAAUUAGGUUGUUAGUUUCUCAUAGCAUGGUAUUCUGGUGUCGUGAGCAACAGUCUGCUAACUGGAUGGGGUUUCCAUAUUAAUAAGCUGUCUGCUUCAGUUUCUCUUUUAAAGGAAUAUGGAUCAUAGUGAUUUUCCCCUUUAAUUUUAUUGCUCAGAAAUGAGGCAUACCCUAAAAUCCUGGAGAGUUGUAUUUAAUGCAUUUUUGCACUAAUUGGUCCUUAGUUUAAUUAUAUCCCUUUAUUUAACAAAAAAUUCAUUUCAAAAGUAUAAGUGAAAACCCCAUUUAGAACAAAACAAAAAAUGAAACUAGGCAAAUUGACAGACAAUGAGAGUUUUACAAACAUGAUAGGUAUUCUGCUUGGCAACUUACAAGUUAUAUUUACAUCUUAUUUAAGGAUAAAGGUAAAUCAUCAAGGUAAUUACCAACCACUAAUUUUUUUGUUUCAUUUUUAUCCUGUAGAAGGUUUAUAUCUUGUUUUGCCUUGGCUCAUUAGUGUUUAAAAACGUACUCAUGAUGUGCUCAGAGAAAUUCCUGGGACUCUCUUUGUUGUAGAUCAGAAUUUCACCAGGGAGCAAAAUUACCUGAAAAUGUAACAAGUUUCAAACAGCUUUUCACACAAAUUAGUUGUAACUGUUCCCCUGUCUGAGUACUUAUUUAAAAGAAGGGUAAAGAUUGGCCUGUUAGAAAAGCAUAAUGUGAGCUUUGAAUUACUGGAUUUUUUUUUAAACACCUUGAGAGGACAUUUGAAAAAACUGUUCUUACACUUGAACCCUGACAUGGUUCCAUUAUGUAAAUAUUUCAAAUAUUAAAAAUGUAUAUAUUUGAUCCUGGGGACUCAUAUUCUUUCAGAAUCAUGUAAAUAAAUGGCAUCGUGUUAUACUUGUGUGGUGCAUACUAGAAAACAUAGAAAUAUGGGCUGAGUUUUUUUAUGGACAUAAUUUUUAUGACUAUUGGUAUCUAAAGGUCAAGGAAGCCAUUUGCAUUAUUUUUGAUGGAUCUACUAUAUAUCUGCGGAAAUACCUCUUUUUAUUAUAUUUUAAAUUCUGGUUUCUCGAGGGAAAAUUUCGGGAAAUAUGCCCCUUGCCGUUUUCAAGUUUCUUUUUCAGCCUUUUCUCAGACACACCCCCAAACUAAGAUCUUGUUUGAGCAAUUUAUUGUGUCUUUUUUUUUUUUAACAUACUACAAUUACUGUUUCUAAGGCAUCGUAUUAUGUUGUUUUUAUUUAGCCACUACUAACAUGAAGAUUUAUUCAGGUAGAUUUGAUUUCCUUUCCUUGGUUUCUUCUCCUGCUCUGUCAACUAAACUUAUCCUAAAGGACCACUCUAAAAACAAAGCGCAUCUCUUAAUCUGAAACCCUUAGGGAGGUAUACUAUGUACUGCAUAACAUCUCCAGUGAGGUUUAUGGUAGGACCUCUACUAAACAUAUGAGUUUGUGCAAGUUUAUGUAUUAAAAUUUCUGCUGCAGAGUGAAAAUUGCUACAGUUAAGUGGGGUAGAGACUGUUAAUCACUUAAUGCCAGUGUAAAUCAUGUUUUGUGACCAAGCUUCAGUAAAAGCCUUUAGAUUGUCA